CUAUCUCUCUUGAAACCUUUUUCAAUUGUGUUAUACACAUCAAACAAUUUGGAGAGUAUGUGGUUAUUGUUCAUUACAUAGUUUACCAUAAACUUAGUGAACCAUUAGGAUAGGGAAACAAAGGUGAAGUCCUUGCCUAGUUUCCGUCUCGUUAAGUGGUUUAACACUUCAACACUUAAUGAUUCAAAAUCAUCAUAAGUCCAUGUUAAUGGACUAUUUUUGUCAACCAACCAUUAUGUUCUAAAUAUAAUUACAAACUUUCAAGAGUUGUACAAGGCAACUCUCAUUUCUUCAUACAACAAUUUUUAAGUGAAGAAUCAUGGCACAUAAAGUGUCCAUGCCCUUGUGCUUACUUCUCA
rnacentral:lncRNA from 1 species